UACGUAGGGGGCAAGCGUUGUCCGGAUUUAUUGGGCGUAAAGAGCGUGUAGGCGGUCAGGUAGGUCCGUUGUGAAAACUCGAGGCUCAACCUCGAGACGCCGAUGGAAACCAUCUGACUAGAGUCCGGAAGAGGAGAGUGGAAUUCCUGGUGUAGCGGUGAAAUGCGCAGAUAUCAGGAGGAACACCAACAGCGAAGGCAGAUCUCUGGGACGUUACUGACGCUGAGACGCGAAAGCGUGGGGAGCAAACAGGAUAGAUACCC
rnacentral:rRNA from 1 species